rnacentral:misc_RNA from 1 species
AAGUCGUAACAAGGUUUCCGUAGGUGAACCUGCGGAAGGAUCAUUAUAAAUGGAAAAAAUUGCUGAGCCUUUUCUUCCCUGUCACCUAUUUUGGGCGGAUGGGGGUGGUGGGGCUCAGUAAUUUCUUUCUUGUGAACUGGAAGUUUCCAUGUCCUCGCUUUUCGGAGAGGGGGCAUGGGCUUUGCUUUUUUUGUUUUUGACAUUUGUAUUUUUAUUUUAUUUUAUUUUGAGAUUGAAAUAUAUCUCAAGAAACCAAGACAACUUUCAGCAAUGGAUCUCUUGGCUCUU